CAUUAUUGAAUACGUCGGGUUUCUGAUGCUGGCUCUUCACUGAGCAUGUGCUCGUUCCCUUCUAUUUAUCUUCUCUUGUGCACCUUUUGUAGUCUUUGAAGAAGUAAACCUUUUCGCAGCAAUGCGGUUUGGGGGCGUGGUUACAAUCUGCCUCUGCUUGCUUUCUUCAAGGCUAUGUUUUCAUAUACACUAUAAAGUUACAGAAUGUCUUUUAACGAUUGUGCUAGUCGCAGUCAUUAAACCUAUACAACUUUCAGCAACGGAUCUCUUGGCUCUCCCAUCGAUGAAGAACGCAGCGAAAUGCGAUAAGUAAUGUGAAUUGCAGAAUUCAGUGAAUCAUCGAAUCUUUGAACGCACCUUGCGCCCUUUGGUAUUCCGAAGGGCAUGCCUGUUUGAGUGUCAUUAAAUUAUCAACCUUGCUUGCUUUUACCAGCUCGCUCGGCUUGGAUGUGAGGGCUUUGCUGGCUUCCUUCAGUGGAUGGUCUGCUCCCUUUAAAUGCAUUAGUGGGAUCUCUUGUGGACCGUCACUUGGUGUGAUAAUUAUCUAUGCCAGUUUGACUUUGAAGCAAAAUUAUGGGAACCUGCUUAUAACCGUCCGCAAGGACAACUCUUUUGACAUUUUGACCUCAAAUCAGGUAGGACUACCC
rnacentral:rRNA from 1 species